AUCGCAGAUGCUUUCAGGGCCAGCAGGACAGGACCUGCCCUCUGCUCUGCAGCAAUUGCUGUGUCAGCAAAACUUUCUGGAUUGGGCUGUGCUUAGCAUGGUGAUGGGCAUCUCGUGUGUCCAUAGAGAGUUCUGACUUUGGUUAAAUCAGCAUCUCUGUUUUGGUAGUGCUUGUGAUGUGCCAUGUACCAAAAGAAGACAGUCUGAGGGUCGAGUCCAGGUGGGCAGGAUUUGCUGAGGUUAGUGGGAGGUACCAGAGGUUGAAAUUCAAGAUGCAGUCACAAAGUAUGAGAUGGGCUGAGAUAACCACAUCGGCAGAGGGGAUGGAUGUUAUGAGUGAUCAUGAGCACACUUCUUAAUGUACACUGAGGAUGUGCUCAGUCCAAGAAAAACAUCAUCAGCUCUGCCAAGGCAGAACUGGGAGAGGCAUCUUCCCAGAAGCUGAUCCCAAGUGAACAACUUCCUCCUUCCUGCGCAACCCAUCUAAGGCCACAGGUCUGGAUGCAAUUUAGUCCAAGCAGCCCUAAGCCCAGUGAGGAAGAAAAAAUAGGAAAGAUUUGAAAGCAGGAAUUACAUCCUCUCUGAGGAAAGUAGGAACGAUCUGCAAAGUUUACUGCACAACAAAUGAGAGCCAGUGGGUGAAGGCAAAGUGAGCCGGCUAUUUACAAAAUAUACUUGUUUGUUCUAAAGGCUGAAGUGGUGCUUCAGAGAGAUAUAAAAGGAGGGUGAGAAGCAGCAAUAAAGCAGGGCUGUUGUGCAAACCAGCAGUUGCCUUCCCACAGGAGCACUCCCAAGCCCUGCCGAUGCAAGACAUCAUUCUGUGCUGGAAGUGCUCUGUAAGGGCUGCAGGAGACUUUCCAGGCACCCACCCGUGUCUCGGUCUCAAUCUCUGUUUUCUCACUUAUGGAUCUCUAAGGAGAAGAUUCUGUUCUGGGUAUUAAGGGCUGUUUCUCCCUGCCAGCAAGCUAAAUGGUGCAGGGUAAGUGGUAAAUACCGAGGGAAGAAAGGCAAUUUAGUGCACGCACAGAGCUGGAAAUGCAAUGAUUCUUUGCAGAUAAAGAGGAUGCUCAUCUCAGUUGAAUCACUCUUGAUCCUAUGGAGUUACCCCACUUUAUGUCACUCUUCAGAGGAAUGA
rnacentral:lncRNA from 1 species